GCGGAUCCGCGGCCGCUGCAGAGUUUGAUCCUGGCUCAGAUUGAACGCUGGCGGCAUGCUUUACACAUGCAAGUCGAACGGUAACAGGCCUUCGGGUGCUGACGAGUGGCGAACGGGUGAGUAAUGCAUCGGAACGUACCCGGUCGUGGGGGAUAACGCAGCGAAAGCUGUGCUAAUACCGCAUACGAUCUGAGGAUGAAAGCGGGGGACCUUCGGGCCUCGCGCGAUCGGAGCGGCCGAUGUCGGAUUAGCUAGUUGGUGGGGUAAAGGCCUACCAAGGCGACGAUCCGUAGCUGGUCUGAGAGGACGACCAGCCACACUGGGACUGAGACACGGCCCAGACUCCUACGGGAGGCAGCAGUGGGGAAUUUUGGACAAUGGGCGCAAGCUGGAUCCAGCAAUGCCGCGUGCGGGAAGAAGGCCUUCGGGUUGUAAACCGCUCUUGGCAGGAACGAAACGGUGUCCGCUAAUACGGGGCGCUAAUGACGGUACCUGCAGAAUAAGCACCGGCUAACUACGUGCCAACAGCCGCGGGUAAUACGUA
rnacentral:rRNA from 1 species